UGGUUUACUCCCAUGGAGCUGUCGGAUUACUGGUCUUUGCUAUCCCUGAACUUAAGAUGGAAAACUCUUCUUGUGCUGUGACCAGUCAAGAUGAGGAUUAGCUAAUCCACAAGGCAAGACAACUCCUUAUUCCUAGCAAGAAACACCAUCAGGCUGUAUCCAACUCCAAUCAACUGCCUCCAGUGCCUGCAUUGUAAAGGUAACUGUCACCAAAGAAGAUAAAGGAUGUCAUAGAUGCUGGGAUAGAUGAAGAAUGAGCAAUUGGAUACACUGACAAUUCAGUAUCUAAAGAGCAAUAAAGGACUUAAUGAACCAAAUUUAAG
rnacentral:lncRNA from 1 species